rnacentral:rRNA from 1 species
UGGGGAAUUUUGGACAAUGGGCGAAAGCCUGAUCCAGCAAUGCCGCGUGUGUGAAGAAGGCCUUCUGGUUGUAAAGCACUUUUGUCCGGAAAGAAAUCCUUGGCUCUAAUACAGUCGGGGGAUGACGGUACCGGAAGAAUAAGCACCGGCUAACUACGUGCCAGCAGCCGCGGUAAUACGUAGGGUGCAAGCGUUAAUCGGAAUUACUGGGCGUAAAGCGUGCGCAGGCGGUUUGCUAAGACCGAUGUGAAAUCCCCGGGCUCAACCUGGGAACUGCAUUGGUGACUGGCAGGCUAGAGUAUGGCAGAGGGGGGUAGAAUUCCACGUGUAGCAGUGAAAUGCGUAGAGAUGUGGAGGAAUACCGAUGGCGAAGGCAGCCCCCUGGGCCAAUACUGACGCUCAUGCACGAAAGCGUGGGGAGCAAACAGGAUUAGAUACCCCGGUAGUCCACGCCCUAAACGAUGUCAACUAGUUGUUGGGGAUUCAUUCCUUAGUAAUGUAGCUAACGCGUGAAGUUGACCGCCUGGGGAGUACGGUCGCAAGAUU